rnacentral:rRNA from 1 species
GCGUGCCUAAUACAUGCAAGUCGAGCGGACAGAUGGGAGCUUGCUCCCUGAUGUUAGCGGCGGACGGGUGAGUAACACGUGGGUAACCUGCCUGUAAGACUGGGAUAACUCCGGGAAACCGGGGCUAAUACCGGAUGGUUGUUUGAACCGCAUGGUUCAAACAUAAAAGGUGGCUUCGGCUACCACUUACAGAUGGACCCGCGGCGCAUUAGCUAGUUGGUGAGGUAACGGCUCACCAAGGCAACGAUGCGUAGCCGACCUGAGAGGGUGAUCGGCCACACUGGGACUGAGACACGGCCCAGACUCCUACGGGAGGCAGCAGUAGGGAAUCUUCCGCAAUGGACGAAAGUCUGACGGAGCAACGCCGCGUGAGUGAUGAAGGUUUUCGGAUCGUAAAGCUCUGUUGUUAGGGAAGAACAAGUACCGUUCGAAUAGGGCGGUACCUUGACGGUACCUAACCAGAAAGCCACGGCUAACUACGUGCCAGCAGCCGCGGUAAUACGUAGGUGGCAAGCGUUGUCCGGAAUUAUUGGGCGUAAAGGGCUCGCAGGCGGUUUCUUAAGUCUGAUGUGAAAGCCCCCGGCUCAACCGGGGAGGGUCAUUGGAAACUGGGGAACUUGAGUGCAGAAGAGGAGAGUGGAAUUCCACGUGUAGCGGUGAAAUGCGUAGAGAUGUGGAGGAACACCAGUGGCGAAGGCGACUCUCUGGUCUGUAACUGACGCUGAGGAGCGAAAGCGUGGGGAGCGAACAGGAUUAGAUACCCUGGUAGUCCACGCCGUAAACGAUGAGUGCUAAGUGUUAGGGGGUUUCCGCCCCUUAGUGCUGCAGCU